GAGAGAGAGAGAGAGAGAGAGAGAGAGAGAGAGACUUCAACCAACUUGUUGCAUCUAUCCCUCACAAAUGAUAUUCAUCUAAAAACUAUAAUUAAUUUCGGCUAUGUAACAGCAAAUCACUUGAUGUCCAAUCUUCAAUAUAUUCCCUACUUUCAUCCAUCGGACCCUCUCUGUUUGGGCAUUUUUGCUGCCAAAUAACCUAAGGGGGCAAUGAUGAUAAAUAGUGACGCGUUAAGCUUCGCCUCAGCUUGCGAUUGAAGAGAUAAACAAUACCUAACUCGCCAUUUGGCUCAAGUAGUACCAGCCCCUUAAUUAAUGAAUCACAGUUGACCAUUAUAGUUCAACUACUCACUGGAUGAACUCGUCCCUAUCGGUACACCACGAGCUUGCCAUUGUGUAGUGGAAUACAUCUUCAAUUCAUGGAUUUCAGGCUCAAAUUAAACUUACCAAUCAAUAUAUCAAUCAACCAAUCAAACAUCAACAUACAACUAGAUCACUUAUGGUUACAUUCCUCUUCUCACCUACAAACGGACAACAAUAUGGUGGUAUUUUGCAAACCACAAAGGCAAAGAGAAGACAAGAAGAAGGCAAGAACUUGAACAAGAUCACAAGAAGACGGCCGUUUUCUCUCUUCUCAAGCAAAGGCAAAAAC
rnacentral:lncRNA from 1 species